rnacentral:sRNA from 1 species
AGCUCAAGGAGAGAUCUUAUGUCGAUGUGGCGUGU